GCGUUGGCCCAAUUGUAUAUGAUGGUGCUUGCACCUGAUUGAUUUUGGUUGCCAGCGAGUGGCGGACGGGUGAGUAACACGUAGGUAACCUGCCCAGAAGCGGGGGACAACAUUUGGAAACAGAUGCUAAUACCGCAUAACAGCGUUGUUCGCAUGAACAACGCUUAAAAGAUGGCUUCUCGCUAUCACUUCUGGAUGGACCUGCGGUGCAUUAGCUUGUUGGUGGGGUAACGGCCUACCAAGGCGAUGAUGCAUAGCCGAGUUGAGAGACUGAUCGGCCACAAUGGGACUGAGACACGGCCCAUACUCCUACGGGAGGCAGCAGUAGGGAAUCUUCCACAAUGGGCGCAAGCCUGAUGGAGCAACACCGCGUGAGUGAAGAAGGGUUUCGGCUCGUAAAGCUCUGUUGUUAAAGAAGAACACGUAUGAGAGUAACUGUUCAUACGUUGACGGUAUUUAACCAGAAAGUCACGGCUAACUACGUGCCAGCAGCCGCGGUAAUACGUAGGUGGCAAGCGUUAUCCGGAUUUAUUGGGCGUAAAGAGAGUGCAGGCGGUUUUCUAAGUCUGAUGUGAAAGCCUUCGGCUUAACCGGAGAAGUGCAUCGGAAACUGGAUAACUUGAGUGCAGAAGAGGGUAGUGGAACUCCAUGUGUAGCGGUGGAAUGCGUAGAUAUAUGGAAGAACACCAGUGGCGAAGGCGGCUACCUGGUCUGCAACUGACGCUGAGACUCGAAAGCAUGGGUAGCGAACAGGAUUAGAUACCCUGGUAGUCCAUGCCGUAAACGAUGAGUGCUAGGUGUUGGAGGGUUUCCGCCCUUCAGUGCCGGAGCUAACGCAUUAAGCACUCCGCCUGGGGAGUACGACCGCAAGGUUGAAACUCAAAGGAAUUGACGGGGGCCCGCACAAGCGGUGGAGCAUGUGGUUUAAUUCGAAGCUACGCGAAGAACCUUACCAGGUCUUGACAUCUUGCGCCAACCCUAGAGAUAGGGCGUUUCCUUCGGGAACGCAAUGACAGGUGGUGCAUGGUCGUCGUCAGCUCGUGUCGUGAGAUGUUGGGUUAAGUCCCGCAACGAGCGCAACCCUUGUUACUAGUUGCCAGCAUUAAGUUGGGCACUCUAGUGAGACUGCCGGUGACAAACCGGAGGAAGGUGGGGACGACGUCAGAUCAUCAUGCCCCUUAUGACCUGGGCUACACACGUGCUACAAUGGACGGUACAACGAGUCGCGAACUCGCGAGGGCAAGCAAAUCUCUUAAAACCGUUCUCAGUUCGGACUGCAGGCUGCAACUCGCCUGCACGAAGUCGGAAUCGCUAGUAAUCGCGGAUCAGCAUGCCGCGGUGAAUACGUUCCCGGGCCUUGUACACACCGCCCGUCACACCAUGAGAGUUUGUAACACCCAAAGUCGGUGGGGUAACCUUUUAGGAGCCA
rnacentral:rRNA from 1 species